UACGUAGGGUGCGAGCGUUAAUCGGAAUUACUGGGCGUAAAGCGUGCGCAGGCGGUUAUUUAAGUCAGGUGUGAAAGCCCUGGGCUUAACCUAGGAAUUGCGCUUGAGACUGGAUAGCUUGGAGUGCGGCAGAGGGGAGGUGGAAUUCCACGUGUAGCAGUGAAAUGCGUAGAGAUGUGGAGGAACACCGAUGGCGAAGGCAGCCUCCUGGGCCAGCACUGACGCUCAUGCACGAAAGCGUGGGGAGCAAACAGG
rnacentral:rRNA from 1 species